CUUGAUCACACUUAAGCACAAGGUUAGUCCAAAGGUUUCAUCAAUUAUCAAAACCAAACUAGAGAUCUUCAUCAUCCUCUUCUUCGAUGAAAAACUGGGUAUCUUCUUCUAAAUCUAAUGGAUCAUCAAAAGAGACAUCCUUAAUUUCCUCUAUUAACUUUGUCUUAGGGGAAGGAUCUGUUGUUGUAUUUAAAGCAUGAGCAUAGGGUAUAGAAAACGUGAGAUUUUUCCCAAGACUAACAUCUAAUUUCCCUGGUUCCCCUUAAAAGAUAAACUUUCCUAUAGGUUGUCCUAUUAAAACAUUAAACUCCCUGAUAUCAAAAACAUAAAAACUCAAUUGGACUUGUAUUCCAUUUAUGAUAAUAGGUAAAGCAUGUAGAAUUCCAAAACUUGGAACAAUAUGUCCAAAAAGGAUAAAGACAUAUCUUGAACAUAAUCUUGCAUAAAAAGAGCAUACAUAAUAUUGACUCCUAUUAUAGGGUUAUACAGAGUAUCAAAAGGUCUUCUAUUAAAUUGACAUUUAAUGGAAAUAGAAGGUGUAUCUAAUCCAAUUAUAUUAGGUGAAAGUUCUGACUCUUCUAUCCAUUAAAACUCAUGACAGAAAUCAACUCUUUCAUAAUUUCUUUUAAGAGAUUUCUAUUGAUAAGGACUUCUCAUAAGGUUUUCUUACUACUUGAUAUUUUAAAGUAUUUCCAAAAUCAGCAAAAAUAACAUCUUCAAUAUCAAGCAUAAAAAUCAAAAAGUGGAGUUUCCUCUUUUUCUUCUAUGGGUAGUUCAAGGUUGAGAUGGUUCAAGCAAACGCUCAAUUGUUUCAGGUUCUUCUAACAUCUUUUCUUUUUCUUCAGGAGACAAUCUAAAAUUUCAUAAGAAUGGUUCUAGCUUGUCGAGCAGUGGUAUGCAUGAACGAACCUCCUGAGACCAAAUUAAGAUAUUGCAUAGUGUCAUUAUUAAGGCCCAUAAAAAAGUACUGAAGAAUCAUAGGUUCCGGCAAAGCAAGAUUGGGAAUCAUAGGUUCCGGCAAAGCAAGAUUGGGACCAGAGUUUAAGAUCAUAUCAAGACGUUCCCAAGCCUUACCUAAAGCUUCAUCUUCUAAUUGUUUAAAACUUAGAAGUUUGACAACCCUACGAAUUGGAAAAUAUUGUAAACAAAAACUAGAGCGCAGAGAUUCUCAAUCCCCUUGACUAUCCCCUAUAUGAUGAUCGUACCAACGUUUAGCUUUACCUAACAAAGAGAAAGGAAAAGGCUUCCAUUUUAAAGUUUCAUCGGACAUGCCUUUGAUGUAUAAGCAUGUACACCUCUGUUCAAACUCAAGCAAACGGGAAUAGGGGUUUUCAUUUUCAUCACCAGAAAAAGUGUGUUCCUAAACUAAUUUAAUUAACCCCGGACGUAACUCAUAACCAGAAGAUAAAAUAGGUUUAGUAGAUUCAGCUGGUUUAUGAUAUGAGCCCGAUGGUGCUCCAUAUUGAUAUAAAAGUUUUGAUUCCAUAAUAGAAGUAAAGUAAAAAUAGAAAGUAUAGACAAAAAAGUAAAAACUAUAAAGUAAAGCAAUCAAAAAGAUAAAUAAAAAACAAUCAAAAAGAUAAAAGAUAAAAGAUAAAAGUAUGAUACAAGAUUAAAGUAAUACUCUAAGUUAAUAUCCAGCAAAACUACCGUUCCCCAGCAAUGGCGCCAGAAAUGCUUGUUCGUAUAAAUUAAAUACACACAAUAAAGAUAGAUUAUCCGCAAGCGCACAGAUAGAAAAAAAUUGUUGUAUCACUUCACCAAAAGAUAAACUUCCAGUUUUAAAUAUCGAACCCAAAGGAACGGUAGGUGAAUAUAACUAGGUUUACUUAAUCCUGCUUUCACAACCAAGGGACUUAAGAAAAUAGCUAGAUGAAGGAAAUUCCUUUUAUUACCAAAAUAUAUUUCAUUAUUAAUCUAUUGAUACUUAUUUUGUAUCAUAAUUGUCAGCAUUUUUUAUAUAAAUUUGGUCAAAGUUGUAAUCGUUUGAGUUAUCAGGAAUCGAGAAUUGCAUGUUUUUUUUGGAACGGAGGAAGUAUAUUAUUACUCUGACAAAACCUUUGAAUUUCACGGGAUGUGACUCCACUAGUAAAAAGAUCUGCCCGCUCCUCCAUCCUUUGGUUUGCUGUAUUGCAAAAACGAGUGCAUAAAAUAAAUAAGGAGAGGACUAGCGGGUGCAUGUGCACUAUAAGAAUGUCUAGAAUGCACACCCAAAUAUGGAAAGUUCUAGAUGCCCUUCCCUGCAAUGGAAAUUGCUGUCCUCCUCACGAGCGCACGCGCUUGGCACUCUGCCAUCCCUGCCUAGCUGGACUCCCACCGUUUCCCCCCGCGCCUGGCACGUUGAGCCUAUGCCCCAGGCCAGACCUCCCCCGGCC
rnacentral:lncRNA from 1 species